ensembl:rRNA 5S_rRNA 5S ribosomal RNA
AUUUCCAGUCUGUCGCAGAGCCAACACAGUACGAGCUUUUCCGAUGUCAGAAGGUAAGUGGGGUAAUGCCUGGGUAAUACUUGGAUGGGAGACAGCCGAUGGGAAUACCAGGUGCUGAGAGCC